rnacentral:rRNA from 2 species
CAAGUCGAACGGUAGCAGCAGAAGCUUGCUUCUGGCUGACGAGUGGCGGACGGGUGAGUAACGCGUGGGAAUCUACCCUUUAGCGGGGGACAACUCGAGGAAACUCGAGCUAAUACCGCAUAAUCCCUUCGGGGCAAAGGCUUCGGCCACUAUUGGAUGAGCCCGCGUCCGAUUAGCUUGUUGGUAGGGUAAUGGCCUACCAAGGCGACGAUCGGUAGCUGGUCUGAGAGGACGAUCAGCCACACUGGGACUGAGACACGGCCCAGACUCC